UGGUUCUGGCAUCGAUGAAGAACGCAGCGAAAUGCGAUAAGUAGUGUGAAUUGCAGAAUUCAGUGAAUCAUCGAAUCUUUGAACGCACAUUGCGCCCCUUGGUACUCCAUGGGGCAUGCCUGUUCGAGCGUCAUAUAAGCCCUCAAGCUCUGCUUGGUGCUGGGUGUUGUCCGGUGGACUCGCCCGAAAUCUAUCGGCAGCCGGCCGUCGGCGUAGAGUGCAGCACAUUGUUCUCGCGCAGACAAGCCGUCUCUCCAUGAAGAUCUCUUUUGACCUCGGAUCAGGUAGGGAUACCCGCUGA
rnacentral:misc_RNA from 1 species